UGACCAUCAUGAGCUGAGUUGUUUGUGGCU
rnacentral:piRNA from 1 species